CUAUCUGAAUUCAAAGGAAAGAACCUCGAUGAGAUCCAGAUUGAUCCACAAGAGAGAGUACUGAUGGACAGUGAUGGAUCAGACUCUGAGAACGAGAAAGAAAUGAGUGAAGAUGAUGCUUCACCUUCACCUUCAGAUUCAGCAGACAAAUCAAAGAAGUCCACUGCUGGAGUUGGACGACACAAAAAU